rnacentral:rRNA from 1 species
CACGUAGGGGGCAAGCGUUGUCCGGAUUUAUUGGGCGUAAAGAGCUCGUAGGCGGUUUCGUAAGUCGGGUGUGAAAACUCUAGGCUCAACCUAGAGACGCCACCCGAUACUGCGAUGACUAGAGUCCGGUAGGGGAGUGUGGAAUUCCUGGUGUAGCGGUGAAAUGCGCAGAUAUCAGGAGGAACACCAACGGCGAAGGCAGCACUCUGGGCCGGAACUGACGCUCAUGCACGAAAGCGUGGGGAGCAAACAGG